rnacentral:lncRNA from 1 species
AUUGUCCAUAUUUUGAGGAACUUCUGGCAUCUCAUUUAAUUGUUUAUCCAUGAGUUUAAGGAACUGCAGGUUCCAUUUUGUAUAUAGUGACGGUUUCCCCAAAAUGGUUAAUAUUUAUGCAUACGUCACUAUUCAUGUGAAUAGUACUAUUCAUCAAUCAUGAAUACAUAUCUAUUCAUAUGUGCAGUACAUUUGCCAGUACAGUUAUUAUUCAUGUGUACGGCACUUUUAACCAAUACGGUACUGUUACAUCAUUAAGGAAACCCAGGUCCUUAUUCACAUGUCAGGGAUCAAGGACCCUUAAGUCCGAUCACAUGUUUACAAAUAUAGUACCGGAGAGACUGCCAGCUCUCAUAUCAAUAUCAUCAUCAAGGAUCUUCAAGUCCUGAUGUAAAUGUAUGAUGAGGAUCAAGGAACUUCUGGUCCUGAUCUGUAUACUGUAAAAACUCAUCAUACAGCACAAUUAAUCCAUAAAAUAAAUUUACGUUAAAUAAAUUAAUUUAAAUAAAUUACUUGUAUGGACGUUAAUCCCGCACCAUACUUUAAAUGUGCGGUAAAGUAAAUUCAUAAAUUAAAUUGCUGUAUGGACGUUAAUCCCGCACCAUACUUUAAAUGUGCGGUAAAGUAAACGUGCUUGUAUGGGCACUAAUUCUGCUCCAUACAUUUAAAUAACAGUAAAGGCGUGGACGAUAAACCCGCACCACCCUUUAAAGUAAAUUUACGAUAAAGUAAAUGUGCUUGUAUGGGCACUAAUUCUGCUCCAUACAUUUAAAUGACAGUAAAGGCGUGGAUGAUAAACCCGCACCACCCUUUAAAGUAGGUUAAUUUGCUGUAAAGUAAAUUCACAAAUUAAAUUGCUGUAUGGACGUUAAUGCCGCACCAUACUUUAAAUGACAGUAAAGGAGACAGAGGAAUAACCACAUAGUGUUGAGUUGAAAAAUUUCAGAAAUAAAAGGAGAGACUAUCGUGCUGAUAACGUGUUAUAAAAUAACCUGAGAUAUGUGCGGAUAUU